rnacentral:rRNA from 1 species
CAGCACCUCAAGUGGUCAGGAUGAUUAUUGGGCCUAAAGCAUCCGUAGCCGGCGCUGUAAGUUUUCGGUUAAAUCUGUACGCUCAACGUACAGGCUGCCGGGAAUACUGCAGCGCUAGGGAGUGGGAGAGGUAGACGGUACUCGGUAGGAAGGGGUAAAAUCCUUUGAUCUAUUGAUGACCACCUGUGGCGAAGGCGGUCUACCAGAACACGUCCGACGGUGUGGGAUGAAAGCUGGGGGAGCAAACCGGAUUAGAUACCCGAGUAGUCC